AAAAUCUAGCUUGAAUCAUCAGAAGGACCCGUCCGCAGAAUCCCUGAAGAAGGUUCAGUUUGCUGAAUUCAACAAGAAUGAAGAGAAGAACAUCAAUACUCAGGCUGAGGCAUAUAUCAACCAGAAGCACAAGAAUUUUGAGCUACACAAAUGGAGGACCUUCAAAGUAUCAUGUUAAAUGGUUUCAAUCUUGUUGGCUGCAGGCAGCUGUGUGGCACUGGUGUUCUGCAAUAACCUACAUAAUAUGUUACUCAGCGUUUGCACCCCACAAGAAGAAGGAGAAAAUAUUCUGGCACUGGUGCUCUUCAAUAACCUACGUAAUAUGUUACUCUGCGUUUGUAUCCCACAAAAAUAAGGGGAAUUUUUUUUUCAAGAUAUCGUUCAUGUUUAUCUUAUAUUUCCUAUAGAGAGUAGUACAUUUGCACUGUGAUUUGUUCUAUCUAAUAAAAUGUUGUCUGUUUACUUUUCUGCUAACACUUCUAUUGGCGGUUUUUCUGAGUCUACGGCUUUUUAUCAUUUGCCUUCAUAAUUAUGAGAAUAAAGCUACGCAUAAAUGUGUCCUAAUAUCAUUUCAUCAAGGAAGUAGAUUGACAAGCUCAGUGGCUGAAAGCAUUCACCCUCAGCAUAUCUAACCUCCUGUUUGAUUUAGACAACAAACUUCAACACCAAGCAGAAGCCUUUUCUUCUCCUUAUUUAGACCCCUUCUAACACCUUCCAUAUUCU
rnacentral:lncRNA from 1 species